GGGAGAGCCAUGAAUGGGGUACAGCUCCUUGCAGGUGGAAGGCAGCAAAGAAAGAAUCUCUAUUUUUUUUUCCUGCAAAUACUGCUUUGAACAAGAUCAGGCUUGACCAGGAAAAGCAGCCUAGCCCAACUUGGUGGUUGCCUGCAGGGACAGAAAGAGUGGAGAAUCUCGUGGUCCAUUUCUCUUCCUCCCCUGCUUUUUACAGUUUCAUGGAGCCAUGGGAGCUCUGGAAGUGAACUCAGACAAGAAGAGGUCAUGGCUGGAGGAACAAACCACACGUGGGACUAUGUUUCUUUUCUGCAGAUGGUAGUCAUGCACUGCUCAAACAGAGCUGUCUUGCCACAUCCAUGUCCAAAUGGGAUGAUUAGGGCAUUCUUCAGGCACUGA
rnacentral:lncRNA from 1 species